UCUCAACCAUGACAAAUGCGAUGGGGAAAUCUGAGUUGAUGGACUGAAAAUCUUGAAUCUGAAUUCCUUUGAAUCUUCUGAGCCCACAGAAGUAGCCCACUCCUCCCUUUGAAGAUGGAAGUGCAUGUUGUAGAGGAUAAAGUCUGUCCUGCAUGCUGUGCAGUGUCCUGGUGAUACUGGCCCGGACUCACUGAUGCUGUCAUGUCCUCAUGGUCUCUAAGUGAUUUGAUACCUCUGUGUGCUGUCUCACAGUCUCUUGGCCUCACUUCUGACUCCAACUAUGGCUACGGCAAACAGUUCUUGUGGCCUUUGACUCACUAGCAAUAUCUCACCUUAAGCACACACCAGCCAUUUUCAUUUGCUGUCCCAGUCCUUCUCUGACAGCGGAAUGGUAAGUUGCAGGAAGCAUGCUCUACACUCAUGUGGAGCCUGGGAGUGAAGGAAAAUUAAUACCCCCAGGGCAUCUCUCAACCGAUAAGUGAAGGAACCUGAGACUCUUAAACUGUUAGGUUUUCCUGAACACUCCAUGCUGGCAGAAGGAACUUCUCCUUUAUUAUGGAAGAGCAACUUCUCAAUGCCUAAACACCUUGAAAAGGCCUUACCUGAGGAAGACGCCUUGCAAGGUGUCGCUUUUUCUCCUCAAGAUCCACUACCACUCAACCCUUUUUGCCAAGACCAGUAACUUGGGUCUUGUCUCAGCACAGCCUGAACAAAGAUUCUGGAUUUACCAUCCUGGCAAACAGACCUGGAACCAGUUCUAAUCUGCUGCUGGAUUCCUUGAAGGUUGUACACAAUGAUGGUGCACAGUAAAUGAGGUGGAGAUGCCAGAACAACCUAGACAGAAAAUUGAAGAAGGAGCCAAAAAGCUGAGGAAGGAGAAAAUGUUAGAGUGGAUUUAUAUGAGACCAGAAAAUCCCACUGACUAUUCACUGGAAGGACCCAUAGAUAUUCCUUUACCAAGGCUGUAAUGAAGGUUCUACUGAAAAGUAGAUUUUAGAAGCUCAGUGAAGACUUUCACGUGUUGGUAUGAUAGUAAAAUGUGCUACCUUGAUACUGAGCUGCUUUGUAUUAGUGAGUUGUGAAAUGAUCCCAGAAUAGCAAAGGCCAAGUGGCAGCACUUAACUUUCAGAAACAAAGUAGAUAUGAUUAUCAUAAUGGGAAGGGCCAGGAUAGCAAUCGAGGCGCCUUUACUUGAAGGGUUCUAUGGUAAUGGCUCAUAGAUUAGAACGUUCCAGAGAACGAGAUAGAUGGACAGCCCACAAAAGUGUUCUUCAACUUGAAUUAAUGUAACCCCCUCCCUUGACAAAAAAAAAAAAUCAAGAGGUGGCUGCUGUUAGCCAAGACAAUGAAAAACUGUAGUCCUUCACCCAAAUUGGAGAUCUAAAUUUGUUCACAGACCCAGAGCUUAUUAGUCAAAGGGGGAGCUUGUUUCUCUUGAGGAAGGACCCUAUAAUGCUAUCAUAUGUGUAUACCAUAAAUAUUCUCCAAAAUUGACCUACCAGAGUAACUAUGCAAAAGGAAAAUGGAAUACCUAGCCCUUUCAAAGACAGUUGAAUACAGGGUCUGAGCUGACUCCGAUACAAAGGACCCAAAAUACUAUCCCAGAGCUUCAGAUGGAGGCUCAUGGAGACCAGGUGAUAAACAGAGUUCUGACCUAAGUCUUCCACAGAAGGUUCAUUGAAUCCACAGACUCAAUUUCCAAUUCUCAAGUGUAUAAUUGGGGUAGAUAUACUUAAGAGCUGCAGAACACUAAUUACUCACUGCCCUAUGGAGUGUGAGUCAAAACUCUAGGAAAUUCCUGAGGUUGCCUCCAUCCUCUUGCCAAGAAAGUUAAGCAUAAGUAGUACUGCAUUCUAGGAGGAAAUUUGGAGAUUAGCCCUAACACCAAAGAUUUAAAGGAUGCAGUGAUGGUGGUCCCUACAUAUGCUUAUUAAAUUCAACUGCACAGAUCCUGAAACAAUAAAGCCUAUGAGUGUGGUGGAAGACAGUGGACUCCUAUAAACUCCACCAAGUGUUAUGGUCAUCCCUAUUCAUCUGCUGCACUGGGUAUGAAAUCUUUAUGAAACAGAGCAACCCAGACUUUGGUACUGGAUAUGAGGCUACCGAUCUGGUCAAUGUGUUCUUCUCUAAUUCUAUCAGGAGAGAGGAUCAAAGGCAGCUUCCUCUUAUGUGGGGAGGACAACAUUACACAUACACUUUCUUUUCCCAGGGCUAUAUUAAGUAUCUUGCUCUCUGUCACAAUGUAGUCACCAGGAGCCUUGAUCAUAUUGACAUUCGUCGGGAAUCAUGCUAGUCCUUAAUAUUGAUAAUAUCAUGCAAAUAAGACCUGGUGAACAGGAAACAGUAAGUACUCUGGAUCCCUAGCAAGAUAAAUACAUGUCAGAGGGUUGGAGAUAAACUACAUGAAAAAUUAGCUGCCUACCAUAUUAAUGAUCUUUUUAGAAGUCCAAUGGUCUAAGAUAUGCUGAGACAUCCCUUCUAAGGAUGAAGGCAAUUUUUGCGUUUUGUGUCUUCUACUACUAAGAAGGAGCCACAGGACUUAGUGUGCCUCUUUGAAUUUCUGACUGCAUUUGGGAAUAGUUCUCUAAUGCAUUUGUCUGGAAAUUUGAAAGAGUGACAGUUUUGAACGGGGCCCAGAGCAAAAUAAGGCUGUGUGACAGGUUUAGGCUGUGGUCCUAGCUGCUCUGCUACUUGAGCUGUAUAACCUGGCAGAGUCAAGGGUACUAGAACUAUCUGUGACAGAGAGAGAUGCUGCUUGGAAUCUCUGCCAAACCCCAAAAGGAGAGACACAAUGCAGAUCCCUUCCACAGCAGAGAACCACUUACCAUUUUAAAAGCACCUCCCACAGUGCUGCUGGGUCCUGAUAAAGACUGAGCACCUAAUAACAGCUUACCAGGUAAGUGAAGCUGUCAAAGUUGAGCUGGAUAUUAUCAGAUUAUCCAAAUCAUAAUAUUGGGUAGGCACAGCAGCAAUCUACUAGACACUGAACAAGAGAAAUGGUAUAUUGAGAAUCAAGCCCGAGCAGCCCUAGAGAUGUAAGUUACAUGAAGAUGGGCCUCUACAGAUUAGUGACGCUUCUCCUGCACUUCAUAUCUAUGACCUUAUGGCAUGAGGUGUUUCCUAUGACUAAAUGAUGGAGGCAGAAAAAAACUGAAACCUGGUUAACAAUGUCUUUUUUCUCCCACUCCGCUGGUUUGAGCUGAAAAUGAAUGGCUACAUCAGGACAGCCCCAUUCAGACAUGAUACUAAAGGACAGUAUUGAGAUCAGUCAAUUUGCAGCCCAGUCUGGAGUAGUGUUGUCACAGACAAGAUGAGGUGAGAUGCAAGUUGGGCCACUGACGCAUCUUUUGCGGGGAGGAACUACAAAUGGAAAGCUGAAGAACACUAUGGCAUUUCUGGCAGUCAAGAUUUGGAAAGUUACACACUAAGAAGCUAUAAUAUGCUUAAGGAUAAUUUCCACCUAAUAAAGAGAACAGAAAUUUUGUUUAUGCAACCAAAUAGAGAGUUACUGUAUAGAGCAUAUAUUUUCUGAAUCAAACAGAACAGAGAAUGACGGCAUUGAGACAUGUAGAAAUACCCUUAUAAUGACAGAGCUGUCAUGUGGAAUCAUGUGUUAUUUCAUGUGUCCAUUCCAUCUGAAUGAGCAAUAAAACCAUCUUGGAAAAGAAUAA
ensembl:lncRNA